UUGAUGAAUAGACAAUCAAACCGAAGGAUAUAUAUGAAGACAUCAUAGUAUCCAUAAGAUAAGUAGUGGUUUUCCUAAAACAUGUUUCAUUGUUUUAUUUGGAAGAAUCUAAACGUGUUGCUUAAUUUGAUUUACACAAAACUGCAGGAAAUCAAAUGAGAUGUACUUUCAUGCAGUCCAGUAUAUUACAAUAGAGUCUAUGUUUGGAAAGGAGAAACAGGAAGAUUGUAGCACAAAAGUUUUGGAGGAAGAUUGAUGUUGAGUUGGCGGUGUAUCAAUCUGCGGACGGCUUUGUAUUGGUAAGAUGUUUGGAGCCCAUAAAAGUCUAUGAAACCCAGAUAAAGCCCACCUUUUGUCAAGUAUAUCCGAUUUUGAAAUUUCGGGUUUGUUUUUUAAUAAAACCCGAUUGAACUAACACUAAAGUCACUUUUAACCUUCUCACUGAUGUUUUUAGUUGUUGGCGUCAGGGGUAUUUUUGUCCGUUGUGUAAGUUGUACUUCUCUUUUACUAUAAUAGGGAUGAGCUUUUAAAGUUAGAGUUUAGGCUAUAUUCCAUCUGGUUAAUUUCUUUUUUCUUUUUUCUUUUUUGUAAGUAUCAGUUGAUGAGCAAAUAUACUGCAACAGUGUGCCUGAAA